UAUCAUGAUGACCAACCGUUAUCCGUACAGCAGCGAUAUAAAACUGAUGCGAUGCUGAUGUCUGGAUCGAGCCCGGCCUCUCAGAUGAAUGCUGCCGUUUUAUUCCCGGUUGCCUAAAGAGCGACCCGGAGCAGAGGGUUCAUCUGGAGGAGAUGCUCUCCCAUGCCUGGUUCAAGGUCCUGUAGGUCGUGGUGAAGAGGGUCAGUCUUGUGUCUGGAGGACUGAGACAGGUGACCCCUCCAUCUCUCCAGCUUUAGCGUCUUGCGGGGCUGGCAGGCCUCUGUUGCGUCUGGUGCCUUUGCUUGAGGCAGCAGUUUUAGUGUCUUGAGGAACUACUCGUCU